rnacentral:rRNA from 1 species
AGUGGAUGGGGAGCAACCUAGUUGUGCGUGUGUAAAGGUAGUGCCAAGAAAAGCGAUGAUCAUGUUGAAAAUCAAUUCCCGGUACCCGAAACCGACACAGGUGGGCAAGUAGAGAAUACUAAGGGGCGCGAGGUAACUCUCUCCAAGGAACUCGGCAAAAUGACCCCGUAACUUAGGGAGAAGGGGUGCCACCGAGAGGUGGUCGCAGUGAAGAGGCCCAGGCGACUGUUUAGCAAAAACAUAGGUCUCUGCAAACUCGAAAGAGGAGGUAUAGGGGCUGACGCCUGCCCAGUGCCGGAAGGUUAAAGAAGUUGGUCAGUUUUAGGAUGAAGCUAGCGACUGAAGCCCCGGUGAACGGCGGCCGUAACUAUAACGGUCCUAAGGUAGCGAAAUUCCUUGUCGGGUAAGUUCCGACCCGCACGAAAGGCGUAACGAUCUGGGCGCUGUCUCGGAGAGAGGCUCGGCGAAAUAGGAUUGUCUGUGAAUACGGACUACCUGCAUUUGGACAGAAAGACCCUAUGAAGCUUUACUAUAGCUUGGAAUUGUGUUCGGGCUUCCUGUGCGCAGGAUAGGUGGGAGGCGUAGAAGGUAUUCUUGUGGGGAUACUGGAGCCAACGGUGAGAUACCACUCUCAGGAGGCUAGAAUUCUAACUUAAUUAAGGACAGUUUCAGGUGGGUAGUUUGACUGGGGCGGUCGCCUCCAAAAAGGUAACGGAGGCGUACAAAGGUUCCCUCAGACUGGUUGGAAAUCAGUCGAAGAGUGCAAAGGCAGAAGGGAGCUUGACUGCGAGAAGUACAGUUCGAGCAGGGUGGAAACACGGUCUUAGUGAUCCGACGGUGCUGUGUGGAAGGGCCGUCGCUCAACGGAUAAAAGUUACUCUAGGAUAACAGGCUGAUCUCCCCCAAGAGUUCACAUCGACGGGGAGGUUUGGCACCUCGAUGUCGGCUCAUCGCAACCUGGGGCGGAAGUACGUCCCAAGGGUUGGGCUGUUCGCCCAUUAAAGCGGUACGUGAGCUGGGUUCAGAACGUCGUGAGACAGUUCGGUCCAUAUCCGAUGUAGGCGUGAGAAUAUUGAGAGGAGCCUUCCUUAGUACGAGAGGACCGGGAAGGACGCACCGCUGGUGUACCUGUUAUGGUGCCAAUUGUAAACGCAGGGUAGCCAAGUGCGGAGAGGAUAACCGCUGAAAGCAUCUAAGUGGGAAGCCCACCUCAAGAUGAGUAUUCUGGUGUAAGGUCACGGGAAGACGACCCGUAAAUAGGCACGAGGUGGAAGUGCAGAGAUGUAUGAAGCCGAAGUGUACUAAUAGACCGUCGGCUUGAUC